rnacentral:rRNA from 1 species
AUUGAACGCUGGCGGCAGGCCUAACACAUGCAAGUCGAACGAGUGGCGGACGGGUGAGUAAUGUCUGGGAAACUGCCCGAUGGAGGGGGAUAACUACUGGAAACGGUAGCUAAUACCGCAUACCAUCGGAUGUUCCCAUAUGGGCUUAGCUAGUAGGUGGGGUAACGGCUCACCUAGGCGACGAUCCCUAGCUGGUCUGAGAGGAUGACCUGCCACACUGGAAUCGAGACCCGGUCCAGACUCCACAGGGAGGAAGCAGUUGGGAAUAUUUCACAAUGGGCGCAAGCCUGAUGCAGCCAUGCCGCGUGUAUGAAGAAGGCCUUCGGGUUGUAAAGUACUUUCAGCGAGGAGGCGUUACUCGCAGAAGAAGCACCGGCUAACUCCGUGCCAGCAGCCGCGGUAAUAC